UCUCCCUUGCAACCGCAUCACUCUCUCUCCCCGAUCUCUCUCUUCCUCUCGUCCUCUCUCUGCCAUCACCGGAAAACCCCAUCUCCGGCCACUGUCUUGCAAAACCGCCACCACCCAUCAACGCAGCACCAAAAUCUGACCCAAACCCAAGAAAAAUCUAAACCAUGCAUCAACCUCUCUUUCUUCUUCUUUCCUCUGCCAACACCGGAGACUCCAGCUCCGGCCACCAUCUCAACACACCACCUCCACCAAUCGACCCAGAGUACAAAUCCGACCAAAGCCUAACCGAAAUGACCGCCAAGCAUCUUCGUUCGCCUCCACAGACGACCUCCACAGUCCCGCCGGGUUGGCCGGCCAGAGCUUCCAUCUCCGACCAUCAUUUCAACACACCGCCGACACCAACGUUCCCAGACCAAACCGAGCAUUGAAACCCUAAAGUUUUGCUGACGAUCGACGCCGGAAGACUACCGCACGCACCGUCACCGGAGUAUUGCCGCUGCAUGUCUUCGUUUUCCGGUCUCCAGUUCAAACCGAGCGAAACCACCAUCAAGAAUCGAAUCAGCGCCUUGUCAAACACCAAAACCCUAGGACCCCGACCUCUAACUCCAACCAGAGCCACCUUGUGCGCCGCACACACCACCGCAAGCGCCUGAGAAAUUUCUAGGUCCGCCGCUCAUGGAUGCCGGAUUUCCAGAUAGUUUCGAUUAGGUAAUUAUCUUACCCUCUCUUGGUUAAAACCCUGAUUUUCGAUGUGGAUUGAGAAAUCCUAACCCACUGCCGUUUAAUUUGGAAUUGAGGUUUACGGAUUUCUGCAUUUCUGGAGUUUUGGAAAGGAGGAAGCUAAUGCAUCAGUUUUCAUUGAGACUGAAAAAGGGUGUCAAAACAGUGGUGAAUGAUGGAUUGCAGCAGCGACGAUUUAGUUUCUAAGAUGGAAAAGAAGAAUGGACUCGAGCGUGUGCACUUGAAAUUGGAAGAAGUAUCGAAAGUCGGAAACGAGGCUAAGAUUGGGCGAGCACUCCAAUUCCAGGUAGGGUGAGCUGUCCCUUCCUUGUUAGAGGCUUUUCAGUAUAUGUGAACUGCUAUACUAAGAUAGUAUGUUGCCUGUAAGAACGUUUUUGGUUGUUCAUUAGUCGAUGCCUCGUGAUACAUGUGUUUUCAGAACUGAUAAUUGCUAAUUGCAAAAACCGAGGCUAAACUUGCAUGUUGAGAUACUGUACCCUUGUAUGUUUGUACUUGUGACCUGAAAGUGAAUGGGACCUAGACGCGUUGAUUCCUUGGGAUCCCACGGUGUCGAUAACCGUGAACCUCCGGAGGGGGCUGUGCUCCUAUGUUUGUCGAGGAAAGAUAAGUAUAGACAGUGAACCAAUCAUAGGAGACUCAGAGCCAGGAAAUGGACACUUUCGCUACUUGUAGUCAUACGGACUACAGAGUAGUUGGCUGGUUCUUGAAUUCAGGACGAACCAGGUCGGUCACCGAUUUGUUUUAUUUUAGCCGGCAUUGUGCAGGUUUCGAGCAUGUGGUCGGGAAGCGUACAUGGGAGGCACAUGGCACAGCUUGGCGCAUUUCUCUUUAGUUUUAUCAAAAGGAAGGUUUUGGUCCCUUAUCGGAUUUUGAAGUAACUUAGUUAUUUAUUUUCUUACUAAUUUAUUUGUUUAUUUGUUUUCUAUUCGCUCCUUUACAAAAUUUCGAGAGACCCGUAACCCUGGGGCGCGUCUCUCAUACUUGUUUUUACUUCGUGAUUUGUUAUUUUCCAAAUUGGGCUCCUAUUGUAAGCCCAAAUCUUUUAGCUCACUUUAAAUCCCGCUUGCGAAAAUAUGUUGUUCGGUUGCUAGAA